AGCGAACGCUGGCGGCAGGCUUAACACAUGCAAGUCGAGCGGGCGUAGCAAUACGUCAGCGGCAGACGGGUGAGUAACGCGUGGGAACGUACCUUUUGGUUCGGAACAACACAGGGAAACUUGUGCUAAUACCGGAUAAGCCCUUACGGGGAAAGAUUUAUCGCCGAAAGAUCGGCCCGCGUCUGAUUAGCUAGUUGGUGAGGUAAUGGCUCACCAAGGCGACGAUCAGUAGCUGGUCUGAGAGGAUGAUCAGCCACAUUGGGACUGAGACACGGCCCAAACUCCUACGGGAGGCAGCAGUGGGGAAUAUUGGACAAUGGGCGCAAGCCUGAUCCAGCCAUGCCGCGUGAGUGAUGAAGGCCCUAGGGUUGUAAAGCUCUUUUGUGCGGGAAGAUAAUGACGGUACCGCAAGAAUAAGCCCCGGCUAACUUCGUGCCAGCCGCCGCCGUAACAC
rnacentral:rRNA from 1 species